GUCAGGAUAGCCAAGUGGUCUAAGGUGCCAGACUCAAGUUCUGGUCCUUGUGAGAUGGCGUGGGUUCAUAUACCACUUCUGAUA
rnacentral:tRNA from 1 species